AAAACAGUGUCGGGAGUCAUUUUGCUUUUGCAUAUGCACAUGCAGGCCCUGGCACUUAAAUGACUUAAUUGCUGCAAAAGAAAAGUUGAGAGCUGCUAGCUCGUUUGCUUUGUACCAAUGCGACUGUGUGUGUGGAGAGAUAGGACACUCCCCGUGCGAGAUCAUCUGGAACUGGUUUUUGCCUCCUGUUCCCAUCUGCAGCUUCAUGUAGUCACUAUCCAUCCAUAUUUGUGGGGCAAACAGAACAGAAGCACACUUUUACUGGAGAUUUUUAUUUUAUUUUUUUCCUGUUUCGUUUUAAAUGUUGUAAUUUCUGUGCCUUUAUUUCUUAUUUUCUUUCUUUUUAAUGUGAGUCAGUGUUUCUUAUAAAGAUAUUUCUUCUAUGACCAGUUUGAGAUUUUCUGUGCUCUACAGACAAACUCAAACGCUGUUUCACACCUGUGGUUUCCAUUGUCUGAGUGUAGUUGUUGAAGUAAUAUAAGCCUUUCUCUGAAUGGGCGUUUCUUUGAGACUGGAUUCAGCAGCUGGGUCUCUCACAAUGUAAAGCUCCCUCUAGUGGAUCAUUGCGCUCACCCGCAGGUCAUACACGUGUACUGUUUUCUCCAGUCGUGAAGCAGAAAGCAGCAGACUUGGCAAACUAGUAGCCUAGUCACCACAGAAAGGGAGUGCUGUGCAUUAUGGGAGCUCUCAGCGGUGCGUGGGCCAGACUCUGACCAAUCAGGUCACUUGGCUAAAGCUUCAACAGUGUUUUAACUGGAUGUUCUGUUGACCUCAGUCAUAUAAACCCAUCCAACAGCAGACCAGCCUCAUGUAAUUCUAUGUUGCAGUAAUCACACACACACAGAAGUCUACUUUCAGUAUUGUGGUUUUUCCGCAAACGGUCGAGUUUUAACUCUUAACUCUGUGUUCCGAGCUUUAUUAUGCAUCCAGACCAAACGAGGCGAAGGGGCGGUCACACUUGGUGUUAUGUCGGAUUUCCUUUUCCGUGAUCAAAUAGAUUUUACUCUUCCCUCUGCAAGUUUUAUGCAUUUCAAAAGAGCGCUUAACAUCGAUGUUCCCAAUCCAAUCUGUGCUCUAAAUCGAGAUUUAAUUGCAACAGUACAGCAUUGCACAUGUUAUCAAAAGAGUGUAUGAUAAAACCCAGGUUGAACACCAUGAAUUAAACAUUCAGAUGGAAAUCUCCCAUGGUAAAUGAGCUUAUUUCUCAUUUGACAAGUGAGAAUAACCUUGUACAAUCCACCACACUGCCUAUGUUAAGAUGUCACAUA